ensembl:snRNA U5 U5 spliceosomal RNA
AUACUCUGGUUUCUCUUCAGAUCGGAUAAAUCUUUUGCCUUUUACUAAAGAUUUCCUUAGAGAGGAACAAUACUGAGUCUUAACCCAAUUUUUUGAGGCCUUGCUUUAGCAAGACU